rnacentral:lncRNA from 1 species
GCCUCUGGAGAUUUUUCUAAUGAGAAAAUGUCAUGGUGCCAAUAAAACUAUUAUAAGAUUUAUAUCCAUGCAUAAGCCACCAAUACCCAAUGAAACAAUUAUUCCCUUGUCCAGUACCAUAAUAUUAUCUCUGAAAAACCAAAUGUGUUGUUAAAUUGAGACAGCAGUUAUUAGGGACACAUUUCACUGAACAAGAAAGUGGCAGAUAGUAUUUAGUUUGUUAGAGUCAGAUAAAAUAAAAGUAUUCUUAAAGAAAUUGCUAUAAGCACUGACUUGAAGAUUUCAAUGAGAAGUCAGUGUAAGAGAAGUUGUGGUCAGUUGUUAUUAUAACUUUGAAUUUAUCAUUUCUUAUAUUUUUACAUUGGCAGCAACCGAAAAAGGGGGUCACAGAAGGGGUAAAAUGCUUCUUUUGGCAAAGAUAGGAGACACUUUGUGAGGAAGGACCAUAGUUCAGUUGAUAGAGUUAUGACACUUAGCUUUGCAAAUAAGUGGAUGUUUUACUCAGAGUUUCCAGAUGUUAUCGAAAACAAAGAUGAAACAGAUGAAAAAGGCUUUCGAAUGACCUUAAAAAUCAAGUUACUUGGUUUCCUUACAAAAAGGAUCAUACAAUCUUUGGGUUAGCAAAGAUGCAGGCUAUGAAAUCUAAUUUUAGAGAUUCGCUUCACUUGCAGGGAGCCAUGGCCACAUGGCUUCUUGUUUGUUCCAGGAAACAGGAGGAGAAAAAAGACAAAGGUGGGGGUGGGUAGCAAAAGAGACUUUGAGCCUGCCAAGUCACACCCACUUUGGUAGCUUGAGCUCAGGGCUCAGGUUAACCCUUUUAUGAAUAUAAGUGUGAGCCAGUAACUGUAUAUUAGAACAAACUAUUGCCUAAGACCCUGGAUAGCUGCUUUCUGUCAGUGUAGACCAGGGGUCAGCAAACUUUUUCAGCAGGGGGCCGGUCCACUGUCCCUCAGACCUUGUGGGGGGUCGGACUAUAUUUUGGGGGGAGGGGAUGAACGAAUUCCUAUGCCCCACAAAUAACCCAGAGAUGCGUUUUAAAUAAAAGCACACAUUCUACUCAUGUCAAAACACCAGGCAAGCCCCACAAAUAACCCAGAGAUGCGUUUUAAAUAAAAGCACACAUUCUACUCAUGUCAAAACACCAGGCAAGCCCCACAAAUAACCCAGAGAUGCGUUUUAAAUAAAAGGACACAUUCUACUCAUGUAAAAACACGCUGAUUCCCGGACCAUCCGUGGUCCGGAUGGAGAAGGCGAUUGGGCUGGAUCCGGCCCCUGGGCCUUAGUUUGCCUACCCAUGGUGUAGACAUACAUUUAAUAAAUAACAAUAGAAUAACAAUAUAUGGCUUUUAAACUAGGGGAUAUUGGUUUUGUUUGUUACUAGGUUGUUUUUCUAUUUAAAACCACACUGUGAUCCUUGGAAGGAGGUUGGUAUAGAAUUACUAUUACUAUUACUAAAUACUGAGAUAGAUAGACCAAUGGUCUGUGUCAUUAUAAGGCAGCUUCCUACGUUCCUUUGUUCCACAAGUUAGAUUUCCAAAAAAAGAUAAAUCAUGGUAUAUUCAUCCUAUACAUACAAAAAAAUUAAUACUAUUUUCUGGACUUCCUGUAUUUGACAAGUUGGGCCUAAAUCCUCAAAAGCUUAUGCCAUAAUAAAUGUGUUAGCCUUUAAAGUACUUCAGUAUUUGGUUAAUUUUAGCUAGCUGGUGGAUGAGAUAUUCUCUUGUAUGUCUUGCAUUUGAGACCUUGACUAUUGUUAUUCUUGCCCAAACAGACCAGGUUGUAAAACAGAUGGGAGCCUGAAAAGAGCCAUGAGUAGGAAACAUGAAACUGGCAUUGAGUGAGUAAAAUACUUCUUCUUAUUGCCAUCAUUAGAUGCUCCUGCAGGAGAUAAAAGGAUGCAAUGUUCAUUGUCUGAAGAGGAACUUCUGCAGGCUGAACCAGAUAAGAGCAAACAUGCCACAUUGUUUCCUGGGUUGAGCAACCGCUGACAAGGUCAUGCUUGCUGAAAGCCUGGGAGGAGGAUUCUUAUUAACAGACACAGCAGCUGUUUCCUCUAGUGAGCUUAUAAAAAUAUAUUUACAACCCAAGGGAAGGCAUUUUUAAAAGUAUACAGAACACAUGGUGCUUGAGCUCACAGCUACCUUGGAUUCUUGGAUUCCAGUAAUGGCUUUUGAAAGCAGAACAGAGAUAUUUGGGUGGUGUUGUGGAGAAACUGAUGAUGAGUCAUCUCACAAGAGAUGUUUGUUCAUCAUCUGGGACUGGAAGUGGGUUGCUCACAAGGUCAUUUAAUAUGGUUACAGCAGAAUUGUAGAGUUGGAAGGUAUCCUUGGGGUCAUCUUGUCCAAUCUCCUGCCAUGCAGGAACCUCAACUACUUUAACUCCAUUUUGUCCUGGUUGCAGGAUGUGCGUCCUCU